UACGUAGGGCGCAAGCGUUAUCCGGAAUUUAUUGGGCGUAAAGAGCUCGUAGGCGGUUGUCGUCGUCUGCUGUGAAACCUAGGCUUAACUCCGGCCUGCAGCCGAUACGGGCAAGCUAGAAUUCGGUAGGGGAGACUGGAAUUCCUGGUGUAGCGGUGAAAUGCGCAGAUAUCAGGAGGAACACCUGCGGUGUAGACGGCUUUCUGGACCAUUGUUGACGCUGAGACACGAAAGCGUGGGUAGCAAACAGG
rnacentral:rRNA from 1 species